rnacentral:lncRNA from 1 species
CACCCCAGGGGUCUGCUUCCUUUGUCAGGUGGCAAUGGCGAUAGUUUACUCACUGGAAGGAAGAAGCCGUGACCUCUGGAGAUAAUUUCCCCACAGAGUAGGAAAGUUGAUUGAAUGAAGAGCAAACUAUCAACAGAAAAGGCGAAUCAAAGAAUGAUUAUGACAGCUAUGGAGAAAAAGGGUUCUCAGACUGUAGAUGAAGGUCUGGGUAAGGGAGAUGCCGAAGAAAUGAAUGUUUUCCUCUCACACUGGAGAUCCCAUCCAUCUUCUACCCAGACGUGUCUGACCGGGGGGUCAAGAAAUGGCUAAGGAGCAGGAGAGAAAUUUGGUGGAAGCAAAUCACUACACUCAGCCAUCACUUCCACUCUUGAGUUUUCAAAAUAUCAGAAAAACGGAAAGGACCGGCAAGUUGGCAAACCCCAAACUGGAACCACCGUCUGCGUCCUGGGAUCUCUACAGUCCACGACCCCAAAUCAAUUCGACCGUGGGAAACCCCAGGGAAAGGC